rnacentral:rRNA from 1 species
AACGAACGCUGGCGGCAUGCCUAACACAUGCAAGUCGAACGAGACCUUCGGGUCUAGUGGCGCACGGGUGCGUAACGCGUGGGAACCUGCCCUUAGGUUCGGAAUAACUCCCCGUAAGGGGUGCUAAUACCGGAUAAUGUCUUCGGACCAAAGAUUUAUCGCCUUUGGAUGGGCCCGCGUUGGCUUAGCUAGUUGGUAGGGUAAAAGCCUACCAAGGCGACGAUCCAUAGCUGGUCUGAGAGGAUGAUCAGCCACACUGGGACUGAGACACGGCCCAGACUCCUACGGGAGGCAGCAGUGGGGAAUAUUGGACAAUGGGCGAAAGCCUGAUCCAGCAAUGCCGCGUGAGUGAUGAAGGCCUUAGGGUUGUAAAGCUCUUUUACCCGGGAUGAUAAUGACAGUACUGGGAGAAUGAGCUCCGGCUAACUCCGUG